GACGAACGCUGGCGGCGUGCUUAACACAUGCAAGUCGAACGAAGUGGCGAACGGGUGAGUAACGCGUAAUCCACCUGCCCUUCAGAGGGGGACAACAGUUGGAAACGACUGCUCAUACCGCAUACUGAAGGAGGGGAUUGCGUCUGAUUGGCUGGUUGGAGGGGUCAAGGCCCACCAAGGCGCUGAUCAGUAGUCGGGCGGAGAGGAUGAACGGACAAAUUGGGACUGAGACACGGCCCAGACUCCUUCGGGAGGCAGCAGGGGGGAAACAUCAGCAAUGGACGAAAGUCUGACGGAGCAAAGCCGCGGGAGUGAUGACGGCCUUCGGGUGGGAAAGCUCUGUUAAUCGGGACGCGGUACCGGAAGAGAAAGCCACGGCUAACUACGUGCCAGCAGCCGCGGUAAUAC
rnacentral:rRNA from 1 species